UACGUAGGGCGCAAGCGUUGUCCGGAAUUAUUGGGCGUAAAGAGCUCGUAGGCGGUCUGUUGCGUCCGCUGUGAAAACUCGGGGCUUAACCCCGAGCCUGCAGUGGAUACGGGCAGACUAGAGGUAGGUAGGGGAGAAUGGAAUUCCCGGUGUAGCGGUGAAAUGCGCAGAUAUCGGGAAGAACACCCGUGGCGAAGGCGGCUCUCUGGGACGGUACUGACGCUGAGACGCGAAAGCGUGGGGAGCGAACAGG
rnacentral:rRNA from 1 species